AUGUCCAUGGUUAUCUCCUCCGGUCUUCCAGCUCCUUGCUCUCUCCUCAUGGCAACCUUGAUGCUGCUCAUCGUCCAGGCGCAAAGCUUCACUAGGCACUACAAUUUCAAUGUGCAAAUGGCCAACGUGACGAGGCUGUGCGCCACCAAGAGCAUCGUGACGGUGAACGGGGAGUACCCCGGCCCGGCGCUCGUGGCGAGGGAAGGCGACCGCGUCGUCGUCCGCGUCACCAACCACGUCGCGCACAACAUGACGCUGCACUGGCACGGCGUCCGGCAGCUGCGGAACGGCUGGGCCGACGGGACGGCGUACGUCACGCAGUGCCCGAUCCAGACGGGCCAGAGCUACGUCUACAACUUCACCGUCACCGGACAGCGUGGCACGCUGUGGUGGCACGCGCACAUCUCCUGGCUACGCGCCACCGUCCACGGCGCCAUUGUCGUCCUCCCCAAGCACGGCGUGCCUUACCCGUUUGCCGCGCCGCACAUGGAGGUUCCGGUCAUCUUGGGUGAAUGGUGGAGGGCGGACACGGAGGCGGUCAUCACCCGGGCGCUUCACACAGGUGGACCCUCGGAUGUCUCCGAUGCUUAUACCAUAAAUGGGCUUCCCGGGCCGCUCUACAACGACUGCUGCGCCAAAGACACUUUCAAACUAAAGGUGGAACCCGGGAAAACGUACAUGUUACGCCUCAUCAAUGCCGCGCUCAACAAUGAGCUCUUCUUCUCCAUCGCCAAUCACACGCUAACCGUCGUCGAGGUCGAUGCCGUCUAUGUCAAGCCUUUCACCGUCAAGACACUAAUCAUCUUACCGGGGCAGACCACCAAUGUGCUCCUCACCGCCAAGCCGUUGUAUCCAAAGGCCAACUUCUACAUGUCGGCUGCUCUCUACCUAGGCAUCAGGCCUGGCUACAUCAACAACAGCACGGGUGCUGCCAUUCUCGUGUAUCAAAAGCCCAGCUCCCCCUCCACGCCAAGCUCAUUUGACAAAGACCUACCGCUACUCAAGCCAGCGCUGCCACGGUUCAACGACACCAGCUACGUCGCCAACUUCACCUCCAAGCUCCGGAGCCUUGCCACGCCGCAGCACCCGGCGGUGGUACCACGGUCGAUAGACAAGCAGUUCUUCUUCACGGUCGGCACGGGCACGUUCCCAUGCCCCAUAAACACGACGUGCCAAGGGCCCAUCAACAGAACGCGGUUCGCGGCGUCGGUGAACAAUGUCUCCUUUGUGCUCCCUUCCACGGCGCUCCUUGAGUCGCACUUCUUCACCCAGGGUGAGGGUGGUGUCUACGGGUCCGACUUUCCAGCCAUGCCCCCAUCUCGGUGCAACUACACCGGGACACCACCGAACAACACGAACGUUGGCAAGGGGACCAAGCUUGUCGUGCUGCCAUUCAACGCGUCGGUGGAGCUGGUGAUUCAAGACACGAGCAUCCUCGGCGUCGAGAACCACCCCAUGCACCUGCAUGGCUUCAACUUCUUUGUGGUCGGGCAAGGAUUCGGCAACUACGACCCCAUGAACGACCCAGCCAAGUUCAACCUCAUCGACCCAAUAGAGCGGAACACCGUAGGGGUGCCCGCCGGUGGGUGGGUGGUCAUUCGCUUCGUCGCUGACAAUCCAGACGUAUGGCUCAUGCAUUGCCAUUUGGAGCUGCACGCGACGUGGGGUAUGGAAAUGGCAUGGCUGGUGCUAGACGGGAGCCUUCCGAACCACAAGUUGAUGCCCCCACCGACUGACCUCCCCAAAUGCUAA
rnacentral:rRNA from 1 species